rnacentral:lncRNA from 1 species
CCAAAAGAUUGAUAUUAUGUAAUUUAAAAAACAAAUGUAUUCAAAUUUUAAAAACACUCACCAAGAACAGAAAAUUGGUUUUUCGAAUUUGCUGAAUUGCACCCUAAAUUGUGUUUUAGCUGGUUCAAGUGGUACACAUUCUCAUGCAGUUAGAAAAGCAAUCUACAGAGAACUGUUAAUAAUCAUAUUUUCUCUUCAUUCGACACGUUCAGUUUUUGUAAAAAUAAUAUUAAAAGUAUCCAGUAUUUUCAUUUUGAUUCAAAAGAGGUGGAGCAUUUAGAGAAAUUUCUAAGUAAAUGAUUUGAAAAUGUAGGAAAAGUA